UGGGGAAUAUUGCACAAUGGGCGAAAGCCUGAUGCAGCAACGCCGCGUGCGGGAUGACGGCCUUCGGGUUGUAAACCGCUUUCAGCAGGGACGAAGGUUUUCUGACGGUACCUGCAGAAGAAGCACCGGCUAACUACGUGCCAGCAGCCGCGGUGAUACGUAGGGUGCGAGCGUUGUCCGGAAUUAUUGGGCGUAAAGAGCUUGUAGGCGGUCCGUUGCGUCGGAAGUGAAAACUCAGGGCUUAACCCCUGAGCCUGCUUUCGAUACGGGCGGACUUGAGGGAUGUAGGGGAGAACGGAAUUCCUGGUGGAGCGGUGGAAUGCGCAGAUAUCAGGAGGAACACCAGUGGCGAAGGCGGUUCUCUGGACAUUUCCUGACGCUGAGAAGCGAAAGCNUGGGGNGCAAACAGGCUUANAUACCCUGGUAGUCCACGCCGUAAACGGUGGGCACUAGGUGUGGGACCCA
rnacentral:rRNA from 1 species